rnacentral:rRNA from 1 species
AGUGAACGCUGGCGGUAGGCCUAACACAUGCAAGUCGAACGGCAGCACAGUAAGAGCUUGCUCUUACGGGUGGCGAGUGGCGGACGGGUGAGGAAUACAUCGGAAUCUACUUUUUCGUGGGGGAUAACGUAGGGAAACUUACGCUAAUACCGCAUACGACCUACGGGUGAAAGCAGGGGAUCUUCGGACCUUGCGCGAUUGAAUGAGCCGAUGUCGGAUUAGCUAGUUGGCGGGGUAAAGGCCCACCAAGGCGACGAUCCGUAGCUGGUCUGAGAGGAUGAUCAGCCACACUGGAACUGAGACACGGUCCAGACUCCUACGGGAGGCAGCAGUGGGGAAUAUUGGACAAUGGGCGAAAGCCUGAUCCAGCAAUGCCGCGUGGGUGAAGAAGGCCUUCGGGUUGUAAAGCCCUUUUGUUGGGAAAGAAAAGCAGCAGGUUAACACCCCGCUGUUCUGACGGUACCCAAAGAAUAAGCACCGGCUAACUUCGUG